rnacentral:rRNA from 1 species
UUGAACGCUGGCGGCAGGCCUAACACAUGCAAGUCGAACGGUAACAGGAAGCAGCUUGCUGCUUUGCUGACGAGUGGCGGACGGGUGAGUAAUGUCUGGGAAACUGCCUGAUGGAGGGGGAUAACUACUGGAAACGGUAGCUAAUACCGCAUAACGUCGCAAGACCAAAGAGGGGGACCUUCGGGCCUCUUGCCAUCGGAUGUGCCCAGAUGGGAUUAGCUUGUUGGUGGGGUAACGGCUCACCAAGGCGACGAUCCCUAGCUGGUCUGAGAGGAUGACCAGCCACACUGGAACUGAGACACGGUCCAGACUCCUACGGGAGGCAGCAGUGGGGAAUAUUGCACAAUGGGCGCAAGCCUGAUGCAGCCAUGCCGCGUGUAUGAAGAAGGCCUUCGGGUUGUAAAGUACUUUCAGCGGGGAGGAAGGGAGUAAAGUUAAUACCUUUACUCAUUGACGUUACCCGCAGAAGAAGCACCGGCUAACUCCGUGCCAGCAGCCGCGGUAAUACGGAGGGUGCAAGCGUUAAUCGGAAUUACUGGGCGUAAAGCGCACGCAGGCGGUUUGUUAAGUCAGAUGUGAAAUCCCCGGGCUCAACCUGGGAACUGCAUCUGAUACUGGCAAGCUUGAGUCUCGUAGAGGGGGGUAGAAUUCCAGGUGUAGCGGUGAAAUGCGUAGAGAUCUGGAGGAAUACCGGUGGCGAAGGCGGCCCCCUGGACGAAGACUGACGCUCAGGUGCGAAAGCGUGGGGAGCAAACAGGAUUAGAUACCCUGGUAGUCCACGCCGUAAACGAUGUCGACUUGGAGGUUGUGCCCUUGAGGCGUGGCUUCCGGAGCUAACGCGUUAAGUCGACCGCCUGGGGAGUACGGCCGCAAGGUUAAAACUCAAAUGAAUUGACGGGGGCCCGCACAAGCGGUGGAGCAUGUGGUUUAAUUCGAUGCAACGCGAAGAACCUUACCAGGUCUUGACAUCCGAUGCAUAGCACAGAGAUGUGUGAAAUCCUUCGGGACAUCGAGACAGGUGGUGCAUGGUUGUCGUCAGCUCGUGUCGUGAGAUGUUGGGUUAAGUCCCGCAACGAGCGCAACCCUUAUUGCCAGUUACUACGUUAAGAGGACUCUGGCGAGACUGCCGUUGACAAAACGGAGGAAGGUGGGGAUGACGUCAAAUCAUCAUGCCCUUUAUGUCCUGGGCUACACACGUACUACAAUGGCUGUAACAAAGGGAAGCUAAGCCGCGAGGUGGAGCAAAACCCAAAAAAGCAGUCUCAGUUCGGAUUGAAGGCUGAAAUUCGCCUUCAUGAAGCCGGAAUUGCUAGUAAUGGCAGGUCAGCAUACUGCCGUGAAUACGUUCCCGGGCCUUGUACACACCGCCCGUCACACCAUGAGAGUUGGGAAUACCCGAAGCCUGUGAGCUAACUUUUAGAGGCAGCAGUCGAAGGUAGAAUCAAUGAUUGGGGUG